rnacentral:rRNA from 1 species
CCUACGGGAGGCAGCAGUGGGGAAUAUUGGACAAUGGGGGCAACCCUGAUCCAGCAAUGCCGCGUGUGUGAAGAAGGCCUGCGGGUUGUAAAGCACUUUCGGUGGGGAGGAGAGGCCAAAAGUUAAUACCUUUUGGAAGAGACGUUACCCACAGAAGAAGCACCGGCUAACUCUGUGCCAGCAGCCGCGGUAAU